GCAACACAGUGACUGCUGCACCCAGAGCCUGUUCCUCUCCCAACUCCUUGAAAUUCUCAGCUCCUUCCUCAAGCCCCUGCUCCUAUGAAUUGGUUACACCUCCAUCAUGCUGCAAAAAUUAAUUUUGUUAUACAUCUAUGUCAUUCAGAGCUAUCAUUCCUGAAGCUUUUGGUCCUGCUCCAACAGUGGUGUUUGCAAUCCAGGACUGUCGUGCAUUUUCCAUCAUUAUCUUCUAUGGAGUUCUUCAUUCCCGUAUCUGUGGCCCUUAAAAUCCUACGAUUGAGUGCCUGUCUUGGAUCGGCCAUCAGUUCGUUACCUUGGUUCUCAGACGAUGCUUGCAACAACGCAAUGGGAUUCACCCACUCUUGG
rnacentral:lncRNA from 1 species